rnacentral:rRNA from 1 species
AUUGAACGCUGGCGGCAGGCCUAACACAUGCAAGUCGAGCGGAUGAAGGGAGCUUGCUUCUGGAUUCAGCGGCGGACGGGUGAGUAAUGCCUAUGAAUCUGCUUGGUAUUGGUGGAUAACGUCCGGAAACGGGUGCUACUACUGCAUACGACCUGCGGGUGAAAGAGGGGGAGGUUCGGACCUCAUGCUCUCAGAUGAGCCUAGGUCGGAUUAGAUAGUUGGUUGGUUAAAGACCUACCAAGGCGACGAUCCGUAACUGGUCUGAGAGGGUGAUCAGUCACACUGGAACGGAGACACGGUCCAGGGUCCUGCGGGAGGCAGCAGUGGGGAAUAUUGGGCAGAGGGCGGAAACCUGGUCCAGCCAUGCCGCGUGUGUGAAAGAGGUCUUCGGAUUGUGAAGCACUUUAAGUUGGGAGGAAGGGCAGUAAGUUAAUACCUUGCUGUUUUGACGUUACCAACAGAAUAAGCACCGGCUAACUUCGUG